AUUCCGAUAGGGUAGCGGAUAUCCUUGAAGCCUGCGAAGCCUCAGACCCGGGUUCAAGUCCGGUUGGGACU
rnacentral:tRNA from 1 species